rnacentral:rRNA from 1 species
GUGUCAGCAGCCGCGGUAAUACGUAGGUGGGUUUGCUCGAGAGGAUUUACUGGGCGUAAAGAGCGCGCAGGCGGUCGUUCAAGUCGAGUGUGAAAGCCCCCGGCUCAACUGGGGAGGGUCACUCGAUACUGAUCGACUUGAAGGCAGGAGAGGGAAGCGGAAUUCCCGGUGUAGUGGUGAAAUGCGUAGAUAUCGGGAGGAACACCAGUGGCGAAGGCGGCUUCCUGGCCUGUUCUUGACGCUGAGGCGCGAAAGCUAGGGGAGCAAACGGGAUUAGAUACCCCGGUAGUCCUAGCCGUAAACGAUGGACACUAGGUGUUGGUGGUAUCAACCCCACCAGUGCCGAAGCUAACGCAUUAAGUGUCCCGCCUGGGGAGUACGGCCGCAAGGCUAAA